UUUGCCACAACCUGAUUGGCAGCUACAGGUGUCAAUGCUCACCUGGGUCGACCAACUAUGGCCAAAACGGAACUAAAUGUGUCGAGCUCAGUUGUGACCUGCAAGAAGCGCGGCCUGGAAAGACUCUUCCAGGCCUUGGCAAUCUCAUGUCUCUGGUGAGAGAAAACUGUUUGAGUUUGAGGAACUCUUCAACGUCUGGACCAAGUGGACCGCCAUUGGGGGGAGAUGUACUGUUGAAAGAAUUGAUUAAUGCCACUGACCUUGUUCAGCGGAGCCACCAGAAUAACAGUGGUCCCCAUGGUAGCAGUGAUGUGACUAGUUUUUUGGAGACCGUUGAAAAUGUCAUUAGACUGAUCGCUCCACAGCUGACAGAGAAGACGGCCAGGAUAGAGACUAACUAUACAGAGGCCAAUAUACUGGUGAACAGAAACAAGACUCCACCUAAAGGUCCAGUCAGCCUGACCAGUGAGAACGCUCAAC